GCAGACUCACUCUGUACCGAACUGCCGCCUUCAGUUCAGGUGCUUUUUCUGUCUGCAAGAGUAAUCACUCACAGGCGUGAUGAGUUGCCUUCUUUCUUGUGGAAGGCUGUUACAAUUGCUAUUGGGACAUUGCU
rnacentral:snoRNA from 1 species